CUCUUACUAGCCGACGGAUAUGAGUAGUAUAUUUCAUAGAUUUGUAUGAUACUUCUCCUUAUGCACCUUGUGAGAAAUCAUAAGUUUUUGGGUUCUGGGGGAAGUAUGGUCGCAAGGCUGAAACUUAAAGGAAUUGACGGAGGGGCACCACCAGGAGUGGAGCGUGCGGCUUAAUUUGACUCAACACGGGAAAACUUACCAGGUCCAGACAUUUGAAGGAUUGACAGAUUGAUAGCUCUUUCAUGAUUAAAUGGGUGGUGGUGCAUGGCCGUUCUUAGUUGGUGGAGUGAUUUGUCUGGUUAAUUCCGAUAACGAACGAGACCUUUACCAGCUAAAUAGUGAUUAUUAUGAUUUAUCAUAGUAAGAUUUACUUCUUAGAGGGACUAUUGGUUUUUAAACCAAAGGAAGUGAAGGCGAUAACAGGUCUGUGAUGCC
rnacentral:rRNA from 1 species